CUGCUAGUGAUGAGAAAUUUCAUCCUUGCUCUGCGAGUUUAGUUCUAAUACCUGUAUAACGCGCUACAUAAGUGCAUUAUGUGGUGAAGAACUAGCGAUGAACAGCGUUGGCCUCUGAAGCGG
rnacentral:snoRNA from 1 species